rnacentral:lncRNA from 1 species
CAUUACUAUUAUAUAUGAAGCAUAUAUCAAGGUGCUACCCUUCAGUUUAUUGAUACCAAACUGGUAUUUCAGUUUGCCAUGUUAUCUGGUACUAGGUGGCAUAUUUGAGAGUUUGAAAGACAAAUCCACUAGACAAAGAUUUCAUUGAAAGCACGAGUUCUACUUAGUCAUCCAUCUGCUCUAUUUCUAAAGCAACAGAGCUACAGAGGGGUGCCGUUGACUCGUCAGAAGAGCUACUAUCACUGCUUCUUUGCAUGGAUAUGGGUGAAUCUGGAGGGUAAAAUGACGGUUUAGGAGGCAACUUU